UCCCCAGUGGCUCAGACAGUAAAGCGUCUGUCUUCGACACAGGAGACCUGGGUUCAAUCCCUGGGUUGGGAA
rnacentral:tRNA from 1 species